UACGAAGGGUGCUAGCGUUGUUCGGAAUUACUGGGCGUAAAGCGCGCGUAGGCGGGCUGUCAAGUCAGGGGUGAAAUCCCACAGCUUAACUGUGGAACUGCCUUUGAAACUGUCAGCCUGGAGUGUGUGAGGGGAUAGCGGAAUUGCUAAUGUAGAGGUGAAAUGCGCAGAUAUCAGGAGGAACACCGGUGGCGAAGGCGGGUCUCUGGGCCGAUACUGACGCUGAGGAGCGAAAGCGUGGGGAGCGAACAGG
rnacentral:rRNA from 1 species